rnacentral:rRNA from 1 species
CCUACGGGGGGCAGCAGUGGGGAAUAUUGCACAAUGGGGGAAACCCUGAUGCAGCGACGCCGCGUGAGUGAAGAAGUAUUUCGGUACGUAAAGCUCUAUCAGCAGGGAAGAAAAUGACGGUACCUGACUAAGAAGCCCCGGCUAACUACGGGCCAGCAGCCGCGGUAAUACGUAGGGGGCAGGCGUUAUCCGGAUUUACUGGGUGUAAAGGGAGCGUAGACGGUAGCGCAAGUCUGGAGUGAAAUCCCAGGGCUUAACCAUGGAACUGCUUUGGAAACUGGGCAGCUAGAGUGCAGGAGAGGUAAGCGGAAUUCGUAGUGUAGCGGUGAAAUGCGUAGAUAUUAGGAGGAACACUAGUGGCGAAGGCGGCUUACUGGACUGUAACUGACGUUGAGGCUCGAAAGCGUGGGGAGCAAACAGGAUUAGAUACCCUGGUAGUC